AGGAAGGGGGAGAAAAGAGAAAAGAAAAACAAAAAACAACGUUGAAAAAAUUCUCAUUUGGCCUUUCUGAAAGGGUCAGUAAUUCAGCAAGGGAGAGUGGAUGGCUUGUUCACUGACUGGUCUAGCAGUUGAUCCCAGCUGGUGGCUGGGGAACUGUUCAGCUGGAACGUACACAUGGGGCCUCUGCAUGUGACCUGGGCUUCCUCCCAACAUGGCGACUAGAGUCCAAGCAGGGCGCCUGUGUGUGAUACAUGGUGGAGAUGACAAUGACACCAACCUCAGGGAGCCUGGAUCCCUGAGUCACCACCUGGAGGAGAGCCAUCCAGUCCAUAGUGACUUUACUCCAAAUUCAUUGCCUCUAGACAUGUGUGAGACUGCAGUGUUCAGGAUACGAAGGCAGGGGCAUGUGACACUGUAGUUCUGCCACCAUAAAUACCAACGUGAGGAUUAAAGACCAGCUGCAAGGGGAUUUCAAAAGCCCCAUCGAAUCCCAACACUUUUCUCAAGACACAAUUUAUCUUUGUCUGUGAAAGUAGGGCUAAUUUAGACAACAAUUAGACCCCAAAAGUAAUUGUGCACAUGAGCUGGGUUGUCUCCCUUGGAGAAGAAUCCAAGAAGAUUCUGGAUGGUUCUGGAGGCAGGGGGUUCACUCUGGAAUAGUAACCACCAACACCACCCUCUCCACAUCUCCUGCCUGAAACUAGUAAAAAGAGUCCCUGCCCACGCCUCCAAUGUGGAUUGUCACCAGGAACGGUGGCUUUUCCAGAAUGGCCCAUGCUCCAGCGUCCAUGUCCCACCUGGGGAAGCAGCCUUCGAUGCCCAAGAAGGCACCAUGGUGGGACCUGGGGCCACAUCCACCAUGCAAAGUGCCCCUGGGAUCUGGGGCACGAGGCAUCCUCACUGGAUCUCAUAGGCUGUCCUUCCCCAACUUCCUUAUUUUUAUUCCUCCAUCAGAGCAAGUCAACUGUCUCCACACUUGCUCUAAAAACAUGUUUAACGUGCACUGACACAGGCAUCGUUACUCCAUUUUACAGACGAAGAAACUGAGCCUGGGAAGUUAUCGAGAGCCAUGACCAUCUCGGAAGAGACCAGCUCAUCUCAGAAGUGAUCUCGCUGAGAAAGGCUGUUAUUUUCCACCAGGUCACGGGGCCCACUUUGCAUCUACAAGGAGAAGCUUGUGCAGUUGGGCUCCCCUCCUGCCUCAUGUUGUCUGGACCCUGGGGCCAGUCUUAUUUUGCAUGAACAGAUUUGUCCUGGUCCCAGCGAUUCUUUACUGGUGUGGAGACUGGAAGUAGGAGCCCGAGGUCCACCAGGCACGGGGGCUCGUAGAGAUGGUUAUGCUCAGGGCAUGGGGUCUGGGGAUGGCGCAGCUCUUCUACAGAAAAAUGCCCUCUGUCCUCUGCAUAGUCCAUGGUAGCCAACCUUAGUUUUGUCUUGCUUUGUUUUUUUCUCUUCAGCCUCCAGAAGAGUGUAUGUUCAACAUAAAGAAUAAAGCAUGAGUGAGCUCUGAAA